rnacentral:rRNA from 1 species
AGUAAUGUCUGGGAAACUGCCUGAUGGAGGGGGAUAACUACUGGAAACGGUAGCUAAUACCGCAUAACGUCGCAAGACCAAAAAGGGGGACCUUCGGGCCUCUUGCCAUCGGACGUGCCCAGAUGGGAUUAGCUAGUAGGUGGGGUAACGGCUCACCUAGGCGACGAUCCCUAGCUGGUCUGAGAGGAUGACCAGCCACACUGGAACUGAGACACGGUCCAGACUCCUACGGGAGGCAGCAGUGGGGAAUAUUGCACAAUGGGCGCAAGCCUGAUGCAGCCAUGCCGCGUGUAUGAAGAAGGCCUUCGGGUUGUAAAGUACUUUCAGCGGGGAGGAAGGGAGUAAAGUUAAUACCUUUGCUCAUUGACGUUACCCGCAGAAGAGGCACCGGCUAACUCCGUGCCAGCAGCCGCGGUAAUACGGAGGGUGCAAGCGUUAAUCGGAAUUACUGGGCGUAAAGCGCACGCAGGCGGUUUGUUAAGUCAGAUGUGAAUCCCCGGGCUCAACCUGGGAACUGCAUCUGAUACUGGCAAGCUUGAGUCUCGUAGAGGGGGGUAGAAUUCCAGGUGUAGCGGUGAAAUGCGUCGAGAUCUGGAGGAGUACC